CUUCAUUCCCUCGGUCAAGUCUUCAGUCUGUCUCUCCCGAGAACUUCUCUUUAGCUCGGGUCUCUUCACUUCUUCAGCCUCUUUCUUUCUCACAUGGCUGGCACACCGAUCAGAUCUCUCGCACACCGAUCAACAUCUCAUUCUUGUUGUUCUCUCUUCCAUCGUUCUCUUUACCGUUCUAAGCAGCCAUGGCCACCGCUGCGUUGCUCAGAUCUCUACGACGUCAUGACCUCGCUUCAGCCCCUCUGUUCCUACUGCUUGCCGAAGUACCGAUCUAGGAAAUGAAAUCGAUGGGUGAUGUCAUGGUAUUUGAGUUACGAAGCCUGGGACCUUGCACAAUGUUCAGUGGCUCUGCAGGUCUUGAUGCCCAGUACUCCAGUAGAAUAUAUCUACUCCAUUAC